rnacentral:lncRNA from 1 species
UGCACCCCAGAGACAGGCUCGCAGCUGCCGACCUUAUCCACUCGCCCUUUCUGCUGGAGCCCAGGCCCAGUGCUCCAGCAAGGAGGCUGAGAAAAUGCUGAAGACUGAUGCCCACGGGGGACAGCUUGGGCUAAGGAUAACUUCCUCUACUUGGCUCUCCUCCAAAGGUACGCGGCCACAGCAGGCAGGGGCUUGGCAGUGUGGGAGGAGACACCACAGAAGACAGGGAAGAACUACCAGGCCUUGGUUCAUCUCCACACUGGCGAGAGAGGACGUGCAGGAAGUAUCGGCUGCCAGAUAGGGAGCUGAGACUUCAAGAAGCUAAAUAAGGUGUCCAACACCACAGAGCAUGGAGCAAAGGACACGGGACUGCAAAUCUUCCUAACUCGUGUGCUCAUCUGGCUAUCUCACCAGGGCCUUAAAUUUAAUAUAUCCCAAACUGAACUCAUCUUUACCCCUUCCCACUUUGCACUCCUCAAAUGUCCUUGUUUAAAAUAGUUACCUUUAUCUUUCCUAACCCAGAAACUCAAAACCUGGCAUCA